AUGCCAACAUUUUAUCUGGGUAGGUUGACCACAUUGGAGGAAACUGGUUACCAGGCUUGUUACCAUGUCUCCCGAGUGAUGAUCUCCUCAGUACAUAUGUCUAAAUUUGGACUGACUUGUGGGGGGUCUCAGCCUCUGGACUUUGAGUGGAUUUGCUGUUUCGACAACGGCGCUGACAGUUUCAAUCUGCCGGCGUUGGAAUCGUCGUCAAGUUACGAGUCUCUGGCUACUUUUCGAAAUGUUAUCGCAGCAGAAAAUGAAGCGGAAAUAUAUGAGCGAAUUAGGGUUCUCGAGAACCAGCAUUACUACAAUAUCCCCCCUCAUAAUAACCCGGGAGAUUACGCGAGGCUGGUUCGAGAGCACUUCGAUCAAGCCCUAAACGUAGAUCACUACUGGGAAAUCUU